GGCGGCGUGCUUAACACAUGCAAGUCGAGCGGUAAGGCCCUUCGGGGUACACGAGCGGCGAACGGGUGAGUAACACGUGGGUGAUCUGCCUCGUACUCUGGGAUAAGCCUGGGAAACUGGGUCUAAUACCGGAUAUGACCACGAAUCGCAUGGUUUGUGGUGGAAAGAUUUAUCGGUGCGAGAUGGGCCCGCGGCCUAUCAGCUUGUUGGUGGGGUAAUGGCCUACCAAGGCGACGACGGGUAGCCGGCCUGAGAGGGCGACCGGCCACACUGGGACUGAGACACGGCCCAGACUCCUACGGGAGGCAGCAGUGGGGAAUAUUGCACAAUGGGCGGAAGCCUGAUGCAGCGACGCCGCGUGAGGGAUGACGGCCUUCGGGUUGUAAACCUCUUUCGACAGGGACGAAGCGCAAGUGACGGUACCUGUAGAAGAAGCACCGGCCAACUACGUGCCAGCAGCCGCGGUAAUACGUAGGGUGCGAGCGUUGUCCGGAAUUACUGGGCGUAAAGAGCUUGUAGGCGGUUCGUCGCGUCGAUCGUGAAAACUUGCAGCUCAACUGCGAGCUUGCGGUCGAUACGGGCGGACUAGAGUACUGCAGGGGAGACUGGAAUUCCUGGUGUAGCGGUGAAAUGCGCAGAUAUCAGGAGGAACACCGGUGGCGAAGGCGGGUCUCUGGGCAGUAACUGACGACUGAGAAGCGAAAGCGUGGGUAGCGAACAGGAUUAGAUACCCUGGUAGUCCACGCCGUAAACGGUGGGCGCUAGGUGUGGGUUUCCUUCCACGGGAUCCGUGCCGUAGCUAACGCAUUAAGCGCCCCGCCUGGGGAGUACGGCCGCAAGGCUAAAACUCAAAGGAAUUGACGGAGGCCCGCACAAGCGGCGG
rnacentral:rRNA from 1 species